rnacentral:rRNA from 1 species
UACGUAGGGUGCAAGCGUUGUCCGGAAUUAUUGGGCGUAAAGAGCUCGUAGGUGGUUUGUCGCGUUGUCCGUGAAAACUCACAGCUCAACUGUGGGCGUGCGGGCGAUACGGGCAGACUGGAGUACUGCAGGGGAGACUGGAAUUCCUGGUGUAGCGGUGAAAUGCGCAGAUAUCAGGAGGAACACCGGUGGCGAAGGCGGGUCUCUGGGCCGUAACUGACGCUGAGGAGCGAAAGCAUGGGGAGCGAACAGG